ACUGGGUCUAAUACCGGAUAGGAGCGCCUACCGCAUGGUGGGUGUUGGAAAGAUUUAUCGGUUUUGGAUGGACUCGCGGCCUAUCAGCUUGUUGGUGAGGUAAUGGCUCACCAAGGCGACGACGGGUAGCCGGCCUGAGAGGGUGACCGGCCACACGGGACUGAGACACGGCCCAGACUCCUACGGGAGGCAGCAGUGGGGAAUAUUGCACAAUGGGCGCAAGCCUGAUGCAGCGACGCCGCGUGAGGGAUGACGGCCUUCGGGUUGUAAACCUCUUUCAGUAGGGAAGAAGCGAAAGUGACGGUACCUGCAGAAGAAGCACCGGCUAACUACGUGCCAGCAGCCGCGGUAAUACGUAGGGUGCGAGCGUUAUCCGGAAUUAUUGGGCGUAAAGAGCUCGUAGGCGGUUUGUCGCGUCUGUCGUGAAAGUCCGGGGCUUAACCCCGGAUCUGCGGUGGGUACGGGCAGACUAGAGUGCAGUAGGGGAGACUGGAAUUCCUGGUGUAGCGGUGGAAUGCGCAGAUAUCAGGAGGAACACCGAUGGCGAAGGCAGGUCUCUGGGCCUGUAACCUGAC
rnacentral:rRNA from 1 species